ACUGAGGAGAAGAGGAAAAUCUUGGUAUGGCUCACUGCUAGGUGUUGAGACCUUUCAGAUCUACCAUGACUGCAGCCUACUUUUACCUGUUCCAGCUUCCCUUAAACUGAUUCAUCCUGAAUUGUUGGAGACUCAGCAUGGAGUUUACUGCAGGGCUUAGGGUUGAGAACUUUUUUAAAAAAAACAAAACAAAUGAUUUUAACAAAUAUAUAAAGUGGUGCAAACAUCACCACAGUCUAGUUUUGGAACAUUUUUAAGACAGCAGUGUUUAACCAAAGGAAUGAGUCCCACAGGUGUGGACUCUGAGAGCCCAAAACACUUGAGAGAGCCUUCCUUCUAUACCGCUCGUUUGAUAAAAAAGCUAGGCUGGAGCCAGGAAGUGAAUUACUGCAAAUCAGCAAUCAAGCUGCCUCUCACUAGGAGGUUUUCAGGGGGUUGGGAGAGCAAAGAACUUGCCUGGUACUAAUCAAGCAAUGCUUUCAUCUUCACCCUCAGGGGAAGACUUAUUCUCCAUGAAUCUGAAGGUCACACCAGGGGGAAAGACUUAUUCUCCAUGAAUUUGAAGGUCACACCAGGGCUGUGGGGAAAAGGAGAAGAGGAAUGUCUCGCCGGUGCCAUAGAAGCCUUUACUCAGUCGGAUAGCUGAGGAGGAGAAGGCCCCAAACAUCUGGAAGACAGAAGAGCUUGCAGUUUGCAGCUGAAAGGAAAUCAUGGAGGAGGGGUUGCUCUGGCAACCUCCACUCUCCAGGCUUGGUAUGUAGACCUAUCCUAGUGGGGCCCUGCCUAGGGAACCCAGGCAGAGCUGGGGGACUGGGAAGGCUCUGCGGACACAUCAGCAUGCAUCCUUCCCUUAACACUCCCCAAGGAAGAACUCUUGUUGGCAUCCUCCUCCAGGCCUUCAAGUCCUUCCUACUUUUUUCUUAAAUGUACUUACUUUCUACACGUAAACCUUGUAGAAAAAUUAGAAGUUAUAGACAAGCAGAAAGAAAAUAAUCAAGUCAUUCUGAAUUCCCCUCUUCCUUCCCAGGAUAACUGCUUUUAACAUGUUGGUGCAUUUUCUUCCAGCAUCUGUUUAAAGCCAGUGUAUAUAAAUUUUUAUUAAGAAAUGAGACAGUAUAUAUAUCUGUUUUGUAAGCUAUUUUGUCCUAACUUUUUAUUAUGAAAAUUUCAAACACACAGAAAAGUUAAAAGCACAGUACACAUACCUUCCACCUAGGUUCAACAAUUGUAAAUGUUUUUGACAUAUUUGUUAUAUCUCUCUGUUCAUAUAUUUUUUCUGGCCCACUUGAAAGUAAGUUGCAAACACUGUGACCCUUCACCCUUAAAUAGUUCAGGUCCUAAGAAUAGGGACUUACUCCUAUAUAAACAAAAUACCAUGGUCACGCCUAAGAAAAUUAACAAUAAUUCCGUAAUAUUAGCUAAUAUCUACUUCAUAUCCCAUUUUCUCCAGUUGUCCAAAGAGUUUCCUUUAUUUAUAUCCCACUUGAAAAACAAAAAGUUAACACUUUCAAUAGCUAUGGUUCUACACCAUUAUUUUUCUUGCCUGCUCAGUAUUUCACCAUGUGGAAGGGCCGUAAUUUAUUUAGCCAGUCUCCUCCUGUGGUGGGAUAGUUAGGUGGCCUGCAGUUUUUCACUGUUAUAAACUAUGCUGAGUGGUAGAGGUGUGAUCACUGGGGAUUGGUUAUGGGGAGUUAGGUUUUGGCUUUAGUAUAAAGAGAAACUUCUUCAUAGUCAGAUGUUUUACCAUCGGGGAGCUCUGUCCAGCCGGAGUGAGCUCCCCUUGAGGGGGAGGUCCUUCCAUCAGCAUCUUGAGGAGGGACCUCCUGCCCUAGUGUGGAGGGGCCCUUGGGGCCCUGAGAUGUCUCCCAGCUCUAACGUGCUCCUUACACAGAAGAGCAUUUGAAACCAGCUUCCAACCUUCCCCACUUCCUGGAGAGCCUGCCUGGAAAGCCAGCAGUGGAGAGACCAAAUGGACUUAGGGCAUUGCCUCCUCAAGGCUCCUCAUGUAAAAUGCGGGAGCGGCUAAGACUGCCUUUUCCCUGGUCUUCUGCUUCCCUUCUUGCCCUCUCCAGAGAUUCUUCUGUCACCAACUGAACGUCAGGCCAUUGAUCCCCUGAUUAAAAUCCCUCCACAGUGCCCUGUGCUUCUGAGGAUAAAGAUGCAAACUUUUACAUUUAUGGUCAGAUGAUUACAGUGAAAACUGUGAGAGCCAGAACUUGAUGGGACUGCCUUGUUUUUCCGGGUCUUGCAAGUUUUCUACCUUUGACAGGGUGCAGUCUUACCACUUUUCUAUCACUCUCUAUUACUGGAAAAUAUUUGAGUUUUCUGACAGGUUUCCACCUCACACAGGUUCUGGCUUUCGCAGGUUUUACUGUAUUUGCUUAAUGUCUGACCUCCUUACCCCAUAGACCAUUAGAACUCCAAGAAGGCUGAAACUACUUCUGUUUUGAUCCUUCUCUAUUCCAAGUCUAGCCUGGCACAUACCAAAAAAAACAAACAAACAAACUCAAACCCAUUGCCAUCAAGUCGAUUCUGACUCAUGG